rnacentral:rRNA from 1 species
UACAGAGGUCCCAAGCGUUGUUCGGAUUCACUGGGCGUAAAGGGUGCGUAGGCGGUCGGGUAAGUCUGAUGUGAAAUCUCACAGCUUAACUGUGAAACUGCAUUGGAUACUAUCCGGCUCGAGGAAUGGAGGGGAGACUGGAAUACUUGGUGUAGCAGUGAAAUGCGUAGAUAUCAAGUGGAACACCAGUGGCGAAGGCGAGUCUCUGGACAUUUCCUGACGCUGAGGCACGAAAGUGUGGGGAGCGAACAGG